AUGUGGACGCCCGCAUCGUUCCGCUGCAGCCGCCGUCGCUGGGUCCAGGGCAGCACCUCCUUCGUGUCGCCCGUCAAACCACCGCCCCGGCCCCGGCGCCACCCGCAACAGCCCGACGCCGUGCUGCCGCGCCCGAACCCGGCGAGGCGGCCUCCAUUCUCCCAAGCGAGCACGCCUUCCAUCUUAUCGUCUUCCGCCGCGACGCCUCGCCCCAAGCGAGAAGGCCAGCCGCCGGGACGCCUCGCCCCCUUCCUAGGCUCGGGCGGCGCGGACGCCCGCCGCGACACCUCUCCCCUUCCUUGGCUACCGCGGCGACGCCUCGCCCAUUCCUGGGCUCGGGCGGCGCGGACGCCGCCGGCAAGAUGCGGUGGUGGAGGACGGCGCGCAGGCGCCGGCGGCGAGCGGCGUGCCCGGCGGUGGAGUACGGCAAUGUAUAAGCCGCGGCGGAGAACGGCAAUGGACGCAGGGGGCUUUUUGCAAAAUCCAACCGUUUUUUCAGGACCACACAUUAAAUAG
rnacentral:rRNA from 1 species